rnacentral:lncRNA from 1 species
UGGUGUAUUGCAUAGUUUUAGUGAUUGGAUUUCACUCAAAACUCACCAAAUGAUUCCUCCCACUGUAUUAUGAUGUUGACCAAGUUUUGGGCUCAAUCCGAUAUCAAUUGGACAAUAAAAUUGUACAAUUCCAGUUCGUACGAAGUUUGUUCCGUAAAUAGAGUGGUUGGUGUAUUGCAUAGUUUGGGUGAUUGGAUUUCACUCAAAACUCACCAAAUGAC